AUCGAACGCUGGCGGCAGGCCUAACACAUGCAAGUCGAACGAGUGGCGGACGGGUGAGUAAUUUCUGGGAAACUGCCUGAUGGCGGGGGAUAACUACUGGAAACGUUGGCUAAUACCGCAUACCAUCGGAUGUGCCCAGAGUGGAUUAGCUAGUAGGUGGGGUAACGGCUCACCUAGGCGACGAUCCCUAGCUGGGCUGAGAGGAUGACCAGCCACACUGGAACUGAGACACGGUCCAGACUCCUACGGGAGGCAGCAGUGGGGAAUAUUGCACAAUGGGGGCAAGCCUGAUGCAGCCAUGCCGCGUGUAUGAAGAAGGCCUUCGGGUUGUAAAGUACUUUUAGCGGGGAGGCGUUACCCGCAGAAGAAGCACCGGCUAACUCCGUGCCAGCAGCCGCGGUAAUAC
rnacentral:rRNA from 1 species